rnacentral:rRNA from 1 species
GACGAACGCUGGCGGCGUGCCUAAUACAUGCAAGUCGAACGCAGUGGGGACGGGUGAGUAACACGUGGGUAACCUCCCAUCAGAGGGGAUAACACGUGGAAACAGGUGCUAAACCGAUACUGAUGGAUGGACCAGGGGUGCAUUAUCUAGUUGGGGGGGAAACGGCACCCCAAGGCCACGAUGCAUAGCCGGCCUGAGAGGUGGACCGGCCCCAGUGGAACUGAGAAACGGCCCAGACUCCUACGGGAGGCAGCAGUAGGGAAUCUGCGGCAAUGGACGAAAGUCUGACCGAGCAACGCCGCGUGAGUGAAGAAGGUUUUCGGAUCGUAAAACUCUGUUGUUAGAGAAGCGGUAUCUAACCAGAAAGCCACGGCUAACUACGUGCCAGCAGCCGCGGUAAUUC